rnacentral:rRNA from 1 species
GAACCUACGGGAGGCAGCAGUGAGGAAUAUUGGUCAAUGGGAGGAAUCCUGAACCAGCCAUGCCGCGUGCAGGACGACGGCUCUACGAGCUGUAAACUGCUUUUGUACCGGGGUAAAAUGCCUUACGAGUAGGGUUUUGAAAGUACGGUACGAAUAAGGAUCGGCUAACUCCGUGCCAGCAGCCGCGGUAAUACGGAGGAUCCGAGCGUUAUCCGGAUUUAUUGGGUUUAAAGGGUGCGUAGGCGGAAGGUUAAGUCAGCGGUCAAAUGUCGGUGCUCAACACCGGCCUGCCGUUGAAACUGGUC